rnacentral:lncRNA from 1 species
GAAACAUGUUAUUCUGCUUCUACCUCACUUUAUUCUUUUAAAUCCAUUCAAUUUAGGCUAUUAAGACAGAGCAGCCAUUGUUUCAGUAUAACACAGUAAUGUAAUAGAUUUGACAAUAGAUGUAUGCCUGUUGAAAAAGAUAGGCCAUCUCAAAAGACAGUAGAACCAUAUUUAAAUCCCACAUUGAAAAACUUCAAAACUUGCUCCAAGUGUGUAUUGUUGUGAUGGGAUAAAAACAUUCCAGUUUGU